UCAUUCCGCUAGGUCGCACGUCUCCCCCUUUUGCGUGGCGGCUCUUCCCAUGGCGGUCAACCUCUGUCGCGCUCAUCCCCAUUCCUGUACGCUGAUGGGAUCCUGCUUCCCACUGCGCAAGGGCGUCGGUACGGCAGCCUCCCACAACCUGGCUUAGAUUUCGGACGGCACCACAACUUCGGCUGGGGGCCUCAAGCAUCGGCGGUGACGCCAGAGGGCGGUGACAAUGGCAGCGAACCAUCGCUUGUCGGUUGGAUUCCACUUGCCGGUGAUUGAGGAAAUAAAUCGCCAUGCCACUCUUCAGCGGCUACUACUUGCAGGUGAUCUAGGUUGACUGACUCCUGUGUGCUCCCAAGCUAGGAUUAGCAGUUCCAGUAUAAUUUUUGCCUUUGGAUUGUAAGUAAACUCCGUUUGGAUGAGCAUCCUUUUCCAUUGACUAAUAAUAGCCAAUCCAGAUUUGUUUGAUCUGUCUGCAUUUUCCGGUAUAUACUUUACAUAUAGAGGUUCUCGGUGUACGUAUAGGACCAAUAGUAUAAUAGUUGUAGAAAUUCUAUAGCCGUCUGCUAUUGCAAGAUAAUGGAUUCAGGAGAGCCAAUUAUAAUUGGGAUAAUUAAAAUAGGCAGAAGGCAUUGGUAAUCUUGACAUGAAGAAACACAUUAUUCUGAUAUGUCCAUGAUAUUUUAGUGCUCACUUUAUUUUACUGAUGUUCCAAUUUUAGCAGUAUGCAGUAAUAUCAUAUACUCUAGACCAAAUUUGAGUUUACCACAUGACAUGUGCUUUGCAGGAUAAAUCGGAGAACAUCUUUGAUGCUCCUUUGAUAGAAUAUAAUGAGAACAACAUGAUAUGUAAGGCAUGUAUUACAUGGAUCUUGAUUCGGAAUUCAGCAAAACAACUCUAUUGAGUACGUGCAAUAAAAUAGUAAAUUGUUGUUCAUGAUCCUACAGUUUCUGAAGUCAAAAGUAGCAGUGUUUCAUCUAAUUGUAUCCUUCAAAGCUAAUAGAGUCCUUCAUAAUCUUGUGUGGGUGUGGUCUCUAUUAGUCACUAUGUAUUCGCUGAGAUUCUUUCAUUUUGUUGAAACUAUAUGUGCAUCUGCUUUUGUCCGUGCCAUGUUAGGCGGCGCUGGAUCAUCUAUGUUGAGGAUGGCUUCACCGACUUGUGCAUCAUCUGAGCUCUGUUUCCCUUUCCUAGGGUUUAACAAAAUCGCAUUUGUUAUUCGUCAAGAGGAGGCCCACAUGCAGCAAGUGUCAAUCAACUGUUGAUUGCAGGAGCAAGGUGUACGGAAAAAAAUUGGAACCAAGAUACUCAUCUGGAGUUUAGUGUUUUAUUGCAUCAACAUAACAAUUCACUGUCUUAUUGCAGGGAUACUGGCUACUUCCCCUUUCUUCCUCUGCCAUCUUCCCAGCAACCAUGGUUCCCAUACCACUGCUCAUUGCGAGGUUCCCAUACUCUCACAGGAACGCUCACUGGCAGCACACAGGCCUUUCCUGACAGUGCCAUGGCACCUCUCUGUAGGUGAGCGACACUGCCAUUUCCUUCCAAGUGUGCCAUAUUUUCUUUUUUAAGUUAUUACAUGCUGAUUUACAGGUUGGUUUAGUCUAUUGUAUCAUGCCUCUAAUUCUGCUCCAUGCUCAAGUCAACAUGACACUUCUUCCCCCAAUUUUUUUCUCAAAUUAUUCUAUGUUAGUUCGGUUUGUCCUAUCAGGCUGAAUGAGCUGUCCACAUCUCCGUGUACAAAGGGUUAGUAUACAUCUACAUAAUCAGAUGCUGGAGGAAAUGUAGCAUAAUAUAUCUAAUCAUAUUAUAUGCUUUACUUACAAUGGUGCCUGCUCAGUGUAGCCAUUUACUCAUGAACUGUAACGUUUCUUUUUACAGAAAAUAGACAAGAUGGGGACAACAAAAUUUCUUUCUCCCAAUUCUGGCACCCCCAUCAAUUGCUUAAUUUUUCAUUACAAUUUUAAUGUCAAUAUUUUUCCUUAAGAAAUUUUGCUAACCGUGGCUUCAUUGCUAAUCAGUUUAUGGUUCACGUACUUGCCCAAAACAUAAUGUUUAGUUGCAGUUGAGCAAACACAACUAGAUCGUGUUAAUGCAUAAGUGAAAUCAACAGUCUUGACGAACCUAGAAUCUAAGGUAUAUAUGCACUGCGAUAUGUUUUACUAGCCUCCUGUUAAAUUCCAAGGACCCUCUUUAUCUUGAGGAUCAUUGUAUAUUGGUAUUUUGUUGCUCUUUCACUAGAAGAUGAUGCCAACUUGUUUUCUAAUUUGUAUAUGAUAAAACUGCAACAUGUCAUAAAAAAGCAGGUUUGGAAGAAUGGUAUUUUUUUAAAGCAAGUUUGGAAGAAUGGUAUUUAUCUAAAUUACGGACAACAAAUGCCAGAAUGGAAUAAAAAGUAAAUAUUCAUUAACACUUGAACACAUUUGUUGGAAUAUAGUGGUUGCUGUAUGAUCUUGAAGCAUGUAUUGCAUUGUAACAAUACAAGGCACGUGCUACUGUUUGACGUGUGAUCUUACAUUGGUAUUAUUAUCCCUGAUUUUCUUUUAGCGACUACUGUAUGAUCUUUGAAGUAUCUAAUCCAACGUUUAUGGAGCAUCAAGUGGCUGGGUUGAGAAGAGAAGUUAUUUGUUGGACCUACAAGGCGCAGAAAUCUAGCUGGCAACAAAAUUAUUUAUAUUUACGAAUGCAGUAAUAUGCAAUACAUAGUGUGUUUUUUAGAAUUACUUGUGUCAUGUUGGAAACAAUGUUGCUGGUGCCUUUACGUGUUACUACUGCUUUAUUGUUCAUGUAUAAUGCCUUCACAUAUUUG